UACAGCAAGGUAUUUUAGGGCUGCACCCGGAGACCCGAUUCGCAGCCUCCUGGGUCUGAGCAGUUCCCAGCCAGUCGCCUGAGAACUUUCCGCUCCAGCACCAGGAAAAAUGAGAUUUUUGCUCCUUUUAAGUUUCGUGGCAGCAGCUUUAGAAGGUGUCCGGUCCCAGGUCAAGCUGGUGGAGUCCGGAGGGGGGGUGAAAAGCCCCGGAGAGUCUGUUUUCCUCACCUGCAAAAUCUCCGGGUUCGUCCUCAGCGAUUCCUACAUGAGCUGGCUCCGACAGGCUCCAGGAAAGGGACUAGAAUGGGUCAGUUCUAUAAACCCCGACGGGAGCCAGACACGCUACCGUGAUUCAGUGAAAGGCCGAUUCACCAUCUCCAGGGAUAAUUACGAGAAUGAGCUGUAUCUGCGACUGUCCCACCUGGAACCCGAGGACACCGCCAUCUAUUACUGUGAGAAAGGCACAGCGACACCCCCUUCUCCCAGCAGCCACGUGGGGGCAGCAGUGACAGUCACCCCGCUUCGGGCUUAGACAGGAGACCUGGCAACUGGGUGAAUGUAACACAAACCUACCGUUUGUGUUACAUUCACCCUACGGUUACUCACAUCUUCUUGUCAACUGUUUGAAAUGGCACAUCCUGAGGAUCACUACAAAAGUUUUUUUUUCUCCUACUGAUAAUAGCUCACCUUAAUUGAUUUAUCUCAUUAGAGUUGGUAAGGCAACCUCCAUCUUUUCUUGUUCUCUGCAUAUAUAUCGCUCGCUACUGUAUUUUCCACUGCGUGCAUCUGAUGAAGUGGGUUUUAGCCCACGAAAGCUUAUGCCCCAUUAAAUGUGUUAGUCUCUAAGGUGCCA